rnacentral:miRNA from 1 species
UGCGCGACGAAGUUACUGUUUCGUCGCGCAAAGUAACUUUGAGCGACGAUGUAUUGUUGUCGCGCAAAUUACUUUGCGCGACGAAACAAUAACUUCGUCGCGCA